rnacentral:rRNA from 1 species
CCAAUAGCGUAUAUUAAAGUUGUUGCAGUUAAAAAGCUCGUAGUUGAAUUUCGGGAUUGGCGCAUCGGUCGUGCCUCACGGGGUAUGAACUGGUGCAGUCAAUUUCUCACCUUCUGGAGAACCGCGAUGUCCUUAAUUGGAUGCCGCGGGGAACCAGGACCUUUAAUUUGAAAAAAUUAGAGUGUUUAAAGCAGGCAUUUUUGCUUGAAUACAUUAGCAUGGAAUAAUAAAAUAGGACGGCAUGGUUCUAUUUUGUUGGUUUCUAGGACCACCGUAAUGAUUAAUAGGGAUAGUUGGGGGCAUUAGUAUUCAAUUGUCAGAGGUGAAAUUCUUGGAUUUAUUGAAGACUAACUACUGCGAAAGCAUUUGCCAAGGAUGUUUUCAUUAAUCAAGAACGAAAGUUAGGGGAUCGAAGACGAUCAGAUACCGUCGUAGUCUUAACCAUAAACUAUGCCGACUAGGAAUCAGACGAUGUUAAUUUUUUAAUGACUCGUUUGGCACCUUACG